rnacentral:lncRNA from 1 species
UUGUUAAAUCUUUUAUUGUUCUACCUUUUUUUUAAUUUUUUUGUAUACAAAAUAUUUAAUUCUACAGAUACAUAAUUUUUUUAAAUAACAAAAAAAACGACAUUUAAAAAAAACAACAUUUAAAAAAAACAUCAUUUAAAAAAAACAACAUUUAAGAAAAACAACAUUUAAAAAAAAUAACAUUUAAGAAAAACAUUAAAAAGGGUCAGUGGAAUAGGACAACCAAAAGCAAAACAAAUAAUUAGUUCUAAGAGUUGUAUUACUUUUGUAAUAUAGCAAAAAAAAGGGAAUCGAAAAAAAAAAAAAAAAAAUUCAAAGCGCCAUUGCUUAUAAAAUGUUAAUAGAAAAAUGUAAUUAAUAAAAAAAUAAAAUAACUGCCUGAAUGGCUAAAAUAUAUACAUACAUAAGUAAAUGUGUAUAAAUUUUAUACUUUUACGAUGAAAUUUUUUUUUAACAUGUACAAAAUGCGGUAGAACAAAUAUCGCUACAUUUUAUAAUAACUUAUAAAUUUGUAUAUUUAUUUUAUUUUAUUUUAUUAUUUUUUUUUUUUUUAAUAGAUGAUAAAAAACCUAAAUUCGACAAAGGGUUCACCCCCUUCUAUUUUAUUUCUUAUCCCUUAUACAAUAUUCAAUGUAGAAGCAUCUUACAGAAAUAUUUAAAUUCUUAUGAUGAAGGUGUUCAUUUUAAUUAUUUAAUGAAUGCGAAUAAUUUGAAUAUAAAAACAUACGCCAUUUACAUUUUUAACAGCUUACAUCAGAUAUAUAGUGUAGAAGGCAUAAAAGGGUUAUAUAACGGUUUGAUACCUAUGAUAGCGUAUAUAUUGUCGAAGAAAACAAUUUAUUAUUUUUUGGAAAAAAUACAUUUUUCUAUACAAAAAAAAAAAAAAAAUAAAAAAAGAAAAGAUACUUACAAUCAUAAAAGUAGUGUAUUAAAAUAUGAAAACAAAUUUAUUGAUGAAAAAGAAAAUACAAAUAAUUUCAUUGGGGACAAUCUUAAUUAUAAAGUUGUUAAAUACAUGAAUUUUGUUAAAGAAGAAAAUAUUCUCGUAAAAAAAAAAAAAAAAAAAAAAUUUUUUUACUUAUCAUUUUACCAUAGUCUUUAUGAAUAUAUAAGUUCAAUAGUGGCUUAUCCUUUAUUAAAUAUUUCAACAAAAUUGAUUAUUUUUCAAGAUAAUACGAAAUCACUAUUUUACAACUUAAAAAAUAUAACCCAACUGACAUAUAAGAUUGACGGAGUUAGCGGCUUUUUUAAAGGGUUGAAUAAUUAUCUAAUAAUACAAUCAUUGGAUAAAGUAUUAAAUUGUUUUUUAUAUAAAUUAUUCUCAUCUAACUAUUCUUACAAUAAAGUUAUUACAAUUAAAGUAGUUUUAACAACGUGUUUAAAUACUAUCAUAGCUCCUUACAUUCAAUAUUCAAUGCUAAAUAGGUCACAAUCUCAAGUAUUGGUAUGUUAUAAAAUAAAAAGUUUUAUUUUUUACUUUUUUUUUUUAUAUAUGCCUUAUAUAUGCAUGUAUAUCCACAAAUGA